rnacentral:rRNA from 1 species
AUACGGAGGGUGCGAGCGUUGUCCGGAUUUAUUGGGUUUAAAGGGUGUGUAGGCGGUGUAUUAAGUCAGUGGUGAAAGCCUGCGGCUCAACCGUAGAACUGCCAUUGAUACUGACACACUUGAGUUUGGUUGAGGUAGGCGGAAUUUAUGGUGUAGCGGUGAAAUGCAUAGAUACCAUAAAGAACACCGAUAGCGAAGGCAGCUUACUAAGCCGAAACUGACGCUGAGGCACGAAAGCGUGGGGAGCGAACAGGAUUAGAAACCCGUGUAGUCC